UGAGGAAAUAUUGGUCAAUGGGCGGGAGCCUGAACCAGCCAAGUCGCGUGAGGGAAGACGGUCCUAUGGAUUGUAAACCUCUUUUGUCGGGGAGCAAAGAGGCCACGUGUGGUCAAAAGCGAGAGUACCCGAAGAAAAAGCAUCGGCUAACUCCGUGCC
rnacentral:rRNA from 1 species